GGGGGGUUGGCGCAAUUGGUAGCGCAGUAGCCUCCAAAGCUAAAGGUUGAGAGUUCAAGUCUCUCACUCCCCA